rnacentral:lncRNA from 1 species
AGCCAAUGAGUGACAAGGUGUAGGCAAGAGCACAAACAGAUCUGGGACCAGGCUAUAGAAGGAGACAACAGAUCUGGGACCAGGCUAUAGAAGGAGACUACAGAUCUGGGACCAGGCUAUAGAAGGAGACAACAGAUCUGGGACCAGGCUAUAGAAGGAGACUACAGAUCUGGGAACAGGCUAUAGAAGGAGACUACAGAUCUGGGACCAGGCUAUAGAAGGAGACAACAGAUCUGGGACCAGGCUAUAGAAGGAGACAACAGAUCUGGGACCAGGCUAUAGAAGGAGACUACAGAUCUGGGACCAGGCUAUAGAAGGAGACAACAGAUCUGGGACCAGGCUAUAGGAGGAGACAACAGAUUUGGGACCAGGCUAUAGAAGGAGACAACAGAUCUGGGACCAGGCUAUAGAAGGAGACAACAGAUCUGGGACCAGGCUAUAGAAGGAGACAACAGAUCUGGGACCAGGCUAUAGAAGGAGACAACAGAUCUGGGACCAGGCUAUAGGAGGAGACAACAGAUCUGGGACCAGGCUAUAGAAGGAGACAACAGAUCUGGGACCAGGCUAUAGGAGGAGACAACAGAUCUGGGACCAGGCUAUAGAAGGAGACAACAGAUCUGGGACCAGGCUAUAGAAGGAGACAACAGAUCUGGGACCAGACUAUAGAAGGAGACAACAGAUCUGGGACCAGGCUAUAGAAGGAGACUACAGAUCUGGGACCAGGCUAUAGAAGGAGACAACAGAUCUGGGACCAGGCUAUAGAAGGAGACAACAGAUCUGGGACCAGGCUAUAGAAGGAGACAACAGAUCUGGGACCAGGCUAGCAUUACAAGGCAUGUCAGUUUGCUGGUCCGAAUCAGUUGGGUUGCCAGGAAAGGGGGUCUGAGUUAAUAAUUUGCCCACGGCAUGCAGUGUCCUGCCCUGUCCGCCUCCCUGAAGCUUCUAGAUAUAUCUGAAUAGACCCUAAAACAGACACAGGAAGUCUAUCUGCAUCAGGCUGCAUGAUAAUGUCAGAACUGCCGCCCGGAAUGCAGUGACAAGCUCUCAGACCAACGCUUGAUUGGAUCCUUAUCAUAGCAAUGCUGUUCCUGAUUGGAUCGCUUAUCAUAACCAUGGUCGGCUCUGUGCUAAUGUUAUGAUAUUCAGGUUACGUCCCAAAUGGGCAACCUAUUCACUAUAUAGUGCACUACUUUUAACCAGAGCCCCUAUUCCCUAUAUAGAGCACUACUUUUAACCAGAGUCCCUAUUCCCUAUAUAUAGUGCACUACUUUUAACCAGAGCCCCUAUUCCCUAUAUAGAGCACUACUUUUAACCAGAGCCCCUAUUCCCUAUAUAGUGCACUACUUUUAAUCAGGGUCCUAUAGGCCCAGGUCAGAAGCAGUGUACUGCAUAAGGAACCUGGUGCCAUUUGCGACGCAGCCUGAUUAUGAGCCGUGGAUGCCUUGCCUGUAUGAGGUAGCUGCUAUCUGCAGUCUGGACUUUCCCAUGUAUAAUAAUCACAGAGUGGAACGUGUGUGUGGUAAAACUACAAAAUAGCAUUAUGACCACAGGAUAAUGUCAUGCAAAGAGAGAGAGAGAGAGAGAGAGAGAGAGAGAGA